rnacentral:rRNA from 1 species
GCUCAGCCAUAAACAAUAGACAAUACAAAUACAUAUUGUUCGCCAGAGAACUACAAGUGAAAAACUCAAAACUCCAAGGACUUGGCGGUGCCCCACACCGACCUAGAGGAGCCUGUCCUACAAUCGAUACCCCACGCUAAACCCAACCACCCCUCGCCAAUCAGCCUAUAUACCGCCGUCGUCAGCCCACCUUAUGAAAGAAGAACAGUUGGCAAGAUAGUUAACAACAAACACGUCAGGUCAAGGUGUAGCACAUGAGGUGGCAGAGAUGGGCUACAUUCUCUACUCCAGAACACACGGAUGGCAUAAUGAAACCUUAUACCUAAAGGCGGAUUUAGCAGUAAGACAAACAAGUAUUUCUGUCUUAAACCAGCUCUGGGGCGCGCACAC